GGUGUACGCUUCAAGUUGCUGAUGAUAAGGCUGUCAUGGAGCAGGCUUUUCAAAAUGCUUCUACUUGUGAGAUGGUUAAGAAGCACAAGAAAUCAGAAAGAGGAUUUCGGAGAAGUAACAUGAAUUCAAGGGAUGAAGUAUUCGUGAUCAUAAAGACAAGGACCAAAGUUGAUGUGGCGUGGCAAGAUGGUAGCCACUCUUUGGGAUUAGAUUCACAGACACUAGUUCCAGUAAGCGUUGUAAAUGAUCAUGAAUUUUGGCCUGAACAGUUUGUCCUGGAAAAAGGAACUUACGAUGAUCUGCACAUGUCUAGCAACCAAAAAUGGGGUGUCGUGAGGGGUGUGGAUGCAAAG
rnacentral:lncRNA from 1 species